rnacentral:lncRNA from 1 species
CUCUUGCAUUAACUAGCAUUGGAUCCACUAGACCUCCAUUCAUCUCCUUGCGCUGCUUUUCAGUGAUCUCUUCCUUGAUAAGUGAUGCAACAGCAUCAACAGUACAUGAAGGAUGCAACUUAAAUCCGUAUAGCAAGCUACUAUCAGGUUUAUUGGUCAUCUUAAGAUGAAGAAUCAGUACAUGAAGGAUGCAACUUAAAUCCGUAUAGCAAGCUACUAUCAGCUUGAUUGGUCAUCUUAAGAUGAAGAAUCUUGGCAAGGUCUUCAGAGCUAAAAUUGUCAAAAUGGAAAAAUUUUGUCACUCGUCUACAGAAACCUUCGUUAGAAGUGAUCACACGCUUCAUUGGUUCACUGUAACCUGC